rnacentral:rRNA from 1 species
UCCAGACUCCUACGGGAGGCAGCAGUGAGGAAUAUUGGUCAAUGGGCGAGAGCCUGAACCAGCCAAGUCGCGUGAGGGAUGACUGCCCUAUGGGUUGUAAACCUCUUUUGUAUGGGGGGAAUAAGCUUUACGAGUAGAGUGAUGACAGUACCAUACGAAUAAGGAUCGGCUAACUCCGUGCCAGCAGCCGCGGUAAUACGGAGGAUCCGAGCGUUAUCCGGAUUUAUUGGGUUUAAAGGGAGCGUAGAUGGGUUGUUAAGUCAGUUGUGAAAGUUUGCGGCUCAACCGUAAAAUUGCAAUUGAUACUGGCAGCCUUGAGUACAGUUGAGGUAGGCGGAAUUCGUGGUGUAGCGGUGAAAUGCUUAGAUAUCACGAAGAACUCCGAUUGCGAAGGCAGCCUACUAAACUGCCACUGACAUUGAUGCUCGAAAGUGUGGGUAUCAAACAGGAUUAGAUACCCGGGUACC